rnacentral:tRNA from 2 species
GGCGGGUUCGUCUAUCGGUUAGGACGCAAGAUUCUCAAUCUUGAAAGACGGGUUCGAUUCCCGUACUCGCUACCA